UACGGAAGGGGCAAGCGUUGUUCGGAAUCAUUGGGCGUAAAGGGCGCGUAGGUGGUUCUGUAUGUCUACCGUGAAAGCGUACGGCUCAACCGUAUUUUGUCGGUGGAAACUGCAGGACUUGAGGCUGGGAGGGGCUGGUGGAAUUCCCUGUGUAGCGGUGAAAUGCGUAGAGAUGGGGGAGAACACUCGUGGCGAAGGCGGCCGGCUAGACCAGUUCUGACACUGAGGCGCGACAGCGUGGGGAGCAAACAGG
rnacentral:rRNA from 1 species